UCAGGGCUCUGGCUGAUGAGGCUGGUGCCAGCUCUCUCCUCCCACCCUGGGCCCCUGGCCCCGCACACCCCAUGGGCUCGCGGCCGGCAGUGUCUCCGAGCUCCCUGACACAGACAGGGCACCCGCAGCUCUCCCGGCCUCUGGCUUUCCUGCCCUCGCUUUUCACCUCUGCCUGUGCUCCCGGCUCUGCAAUCAAGCAGUGUCGACGGCAGCUGCAUGUGAAAUGACUCGACGCCCUAUCCGCGGGUCCCUGGCUGGCGUUCAGCCCUCGCACCGCAAACAUUGCCUUCUAUAAAUAAAGGCCUAUAUCUCAUCAAUGGCAGAACAGCAGAGCUUUAUAUAGUCGUCUUACAUAAAACCGUCUCUCUUUAUGGGCUUCAAACCAUUUGCGUCACUUAGUGCAGCCCCGUAAACCUCCCCGUUCCAGCGCGGGGAGACCCGGCCCCGCGCCCCGGGGCUGCCCGCGGGGUGCCCGGGAACCCCUCUCCUGGGGACUGCCGCCCCAGGCAGGGCCAGGUGGCAGCUGCGUCCCCCCCACGUCACCGCCUUGGCACGUGGCUCCCCGCAGCCCGCCCGGCCUUGGCACCGUGCUCUGGCACGGCAGCCGGCACCGCCAGGCAGCACGGGGAUGGCCAGCUGCGCGCCAGCGCUGCG